GGGCCGUGAGGACGGAAAGGCUUCCGUCGCCUGAGUGGAAAUCCAGAUAGUUGCCGACCUGGCACGGUUC
rnacentral:ncRNA from 12 species